rnacentral:tRNA from 1 species
GAGUCAACGCGCAAUUUGCAUGACCUGACUCUGGAUCAGGUAAUCGGUGGUUCGAAUCCACCCUCCCCA